rnacentral:rRNA from 1 species
AUUGAACGCUGGCGGCAUGCCUUACACAUGCAAGUCGAACGGUAACAGGUCUUCGGAUGCUGACGAGUGGCGAACGGGUGAGUAAUACAUCGGAACGUGCCCGAUCGUGGGGGAUAACGAAGCGAAAGCUUUGCUAAUACCGCAUACGAUCUACGGAUGAAAGCAGGGGACCGCAAGGCCUUGCGCGAACGGAGCGGCCGAUGGCAGAUUAGGUAGUUGGUGGGAUAAAAGCUUACCAAGCCGACGAUCUGUAGCUGGUCUGAGAGGACGACCAGCCACACUGGGACUGAGACACGGCCCAGACUCCUACGGGAGGCAGCAGUGGGGAAUUUUGGACAAUGGGCGAAAGCCUGUUCCAGCCAUGCCGCGUGCAGGAUGAAGGCCUUCGGGUUGUAAACUGCUUUUGUACGGAACGAAAAGACUCUGGUUAAUACCUGGGGUCCAUGACGGUGCCGUAAGAAUAAGCACCGGCUAACUACGUGCCAGCCGCCGCGGUAAAAC